CACCCACCAUCAUCUUCGACAACUGGAUCCCACUGCUGUGGUGUGCCAACAUCCUUGGCUAUGCCGUCUCCACCUUCGCCAUGGUCAAGGGCUACUUCUUCCCCACCAGCGCCAGAGACUGCAAAUUCACAGGCAAUUUCUUUUACAACUACAUGAUGGGCAUCGAGUUUAACCCUCGGAUCGGGAAGUGGUUUGACUUCAAGCUGUUCUUCAAUGGGCGCCCCGGGAUCGUCGCCUGGACCCUCAUCAACCUGUCCUUCGCAGCGAAGCAGCGGGAGCUCCACGGCCAUGUGACCAAUGCCAUGGUCCUGGUCAACGUCCUGCAGGUGCUUGUCAUGGCUGGAGAGGGUGAAACGCCGAUGCCGGCAGGCUCUGGGGAAACCCGCAAGCCAGAGUGUAUUCCCAUGACCUUAAUCUACUGCUUGUAAAAGAGAGUCAGCUGCCCUCCCCAGGUGU
rnacentral:sRNA from 1 species